UACGUAGGGGGCAAGCGUUGUCCGGAUUUAUUGGGCGUAAAGGGCGCGUAGGCGGCUUUGCAAGUGGCGGGUGAAAUCCCUCGGCUUAACCGAGGAACUGCCUGUCAAACUGCAUGGCUUGAGACCAGGAGAGGUGAGUGGAAUUCCCAGUGUAGCGGUGAAAUGCGUAGAUAUUGGGAGGAACACCAGUGGCGAAGGCGGCUCACUGGACUGGUACUGACGCUGAGGCGCGAAAGCGUGGGGAGCGAACAGG
rnacentral:rRNA from 1 species